AUUGAACGCUGGCGGCAGGCCUAACACAUGCAAGUCGAACGAUUGGCGGCCGGGUGAGUAAUGUCUGGGAAACUGCCCGAUGGAGGGGGAUAACUACUGGAAACGGUAGCUAAUACCGCAUACCAUCGGAUGUGCCCAGAUGGGAUUAGCUAGUAGGUGGGGUAAUGGCUCACCUAGGCGACGCUCCCUAGCUGGUCUGAGAGGGUGACCAGCCACACUGGAACUGAGACACGGUCCAGACUCCGACGGUAGGCAGCAGUGGGGAAGAUUGCACAAUGGGCGCAAGCCUGAUGCAGCCAUGCCGCGUGUAUGAAGAAGGCCUUCGGGUUUUAAAGUACUUUCAGCGAGGAGGCGUUACUCGCAGAAGAAGCAACGGCUAACUCCGUGCCAGCAGCCGCGGUAAUAC
rnacentral:rRNA from 1 species